rnacentral:piRNA from 1 species
UGGCCUGUGUCUACAGGAGCUGUGUCCUGC